UACGUAGGGCGCAAGCGUUGUCCGGAAUUAUUGGGCGUAAAGAGCUCGUAGGCGGUUUGUUACGUCCGCUGUGAAAACCCAGGGCUUAACCCUGGGCUUGCAGUGGAUACGGGCAGACUAGAGGUAGGUAGGGGAGAAUGGAAUUCCCGGUGUAGCGGUGAAAUGCGCAGAUAUCAGGAGGAACACCGAUGGCGAAGGCAGGUCACUGGGACGUGACUGACGCUGAGACGCGAAAGCGUGGGGAGCAAACAGG
rnacentral:rRNA from 1 species